AAUGCUCAGAGACUGUGGCUAUUUAUACUGCUCUUAUUGCAAUGCUGAAAACUCUGCUGAGAGUGAAAUUAUUUCAAAUCUAUAUGGGUAUGAUGCCACAUGAAGUUCUGGUUUGUAAUUUCAUAGCAAAGACAUCCCAUUUAUUAAAUGGGCUCUAGGUAGGAUGUUUGAUACAGAAUAUGGCAUUGAUCUACUUGCAGAAUGUUUGCAAGAAGAUAAUUUUGGUUCAACCUGUUCAGCAAGAUUCACUGUAGACAAAGAAAGACAGAAAAAUCAGCAAGUCAGAGAAUCUCAAACAAAUGUCUUGAGUUCCAGGGACUUAUUUAGAUUGUUCCACAGGAUGAUGAUAUGAAUGUCUUUGAAGGGAAUAGGACGAGAGGGUAAAACAGAGGUUCAUCUUCCUGAGGAGUACUCAACUUUUUUCCUCGCUUUGUCUCAGUGUUGACUUAACCCUGUUUUGUAGAUGGAGAAGACUUAGAAGUAAAGAACCAUUUAGAACGAGGGAUAUUUUGCUUGAGCAUUUUGUCCUUAUCUACAACUUAGGGGAAUUUGAAAUCUCAUUAUUCUUUCUUGAUUAACAUACCUUUAUAAGGUGUUCAGCUAGCAUGACAAUGAACUUGAUUUAUAUAUCCAGGUAACCUGAAUCUGCAUGCGCCAGGAAAAGAUUGAAGGCAAACCAGACCCCACACCCACCAUGAUAAGACAGCUGAGUCAAGAUGAAGACCUGGUCCUCAAGGAUUGUCUGUCCCACCAUGGGCUGUGGCCUCUCCAGGCUGUGUUGUUUCUUCAGCCUUGUGUCUCCACUGGGCUCAGCUGCUAAAAGGCUUUUGCUCUGCAAAAAGGCUGCUUAUACUCAUGGUCCUGUUGAUGUGGAUAUGCAACCACCAACUCUCCAAAACCCCAGGGAGAACCUUUUUUAGGAGGACCUGAGGAAAAUACAGCCCUCCUACAACUGCAGCCUCAAUGGUGGCCAGCAGAGUACCCUGGACGAGAGCUGAUUUCCAAUGGCCUCAUUAUGCUGCCUUGGGGAGAGAGAAGGGAGCCCAGAGGAGACAGCCCAAAGUGCUACAGCUGGGCUAUGAGGGGAUCCCAUUUGUCUCAGAGAGGAUACCCCACCCCUCUGCAUCACAGAGGUGUCUGAGCCAGUCUGGGGUCCUUCUUCCCCUGAAGAGCAGCCACUGACAACAUCUGCUGCCCCUCCAGGGGGGAAGGUGGUUGUUCAGGUGAGUGGGCUCAGCCUCCCAUC
rnacentral:lncRNA from 1 species